CAGCACCUCAAGUGGUCAGGAUGAUUAUUGGGCCUAAAGCAUCCGUAGCCGGCGCUGUAAGUUUUCGGUUAAAUCUGUACGCUCAACGUAUGGGCUGCCGGGAAUACUGCAAAGCUAGGGAGUGGGAGAGGUAGACGGUACUCGGUAGGAAGGGGUAAAAUCCUUUGAUCUAUUGAUGACCACCUGUGGCGAAGGCGGUCUACCAGAACACGUCCGACGGUGAGGGAUGAAAGCUGGGGGAGCAAACCGGAUUAGAUACCCGCGUAGUCC
rnacentral:rRNA from 1 species